rnacentral:rRNA from 1 species
AGUCGAGCGCCCCGCAGGGGAGCGGCAGACGGGUGAGUAACGCGUGGGAACGUACCCUUUACUACGGAAUAACGCAGGGAAACUUGUGCUAAUACCGUAUGUGCCCUUCGGGGGAAAGAUUUAUCGGUAAAGGAUCGGCCCGCGUUGGAUUAGCUAGUUGGUGGGGUAAAGGCCUACCAAGGCGACGAUCCAUAGCUGGUCUGAGAGGAUGAUCAGCCACAUUGGGACUGAGACACGGCCCAAACUCCUACGGGAGGCAGCAGUGGGGAAUAUUGGACAAUGGGCGCAAGCCUGAUCCAGCCAUGCCGCGUGAGUGAUGAAGGCCCUAGGGUUGUAAAGCUCUUUCACCGGAGAAGAUAAUGACGGUAUCCGGAGAAGAAGCCCCGGCUAACUUCGUGCCAGCAGCCGCGGUAAUACGAAGGGGGCUAGCGUUGUUCGGAAUUACUGGGCGUAAAGCGCACGUAGGCGGAUCGAUCAGUCAGGGGUGAAAUCCCAGGGCUCAACCCUGGAACUGCCUUUGAUACUGUCGAUCUGGAGUAUGGAAGAGGUGAGUGGAAUUCCGAGUGUAGAGGUGAAAUUCGUAGAUAUUCGGAGGAACACCAGUGGCGAAGGCGGCUCACUGGUCCAUUACUGACGCUGAGGUGCGAAAGCGU